GACGAACGCUGGCGGCGUGCUUAACACAUGCAAGUCGAACGAAGUGGCGAACGGGUGAGUAAUACGUGGGUAACCUGCCCUCCUUUUUGGGAUAAGCCUUGGAAACGGGGUCUAAUACCGAAUACAGGGGGAUGGGGUCGGGGCCUAUCAGCUUGGUGGUGGGGUGAUGGACUACCAAGGCGGUGACGGGUAGCCGGCCUGAGAGGGUGACCGGCCACAUUGGGACUGAGAUACGGCCCAGAGUCCUAAGGGGGGGAGCAGUGUGGGAUAUUGCAGAAUGGGUGAAAGCCUGAUGCAGCGACGCCGCGUGGGGGAGGAAGGUUUUCGAGUUGUAAUCCUAGUUCGCUAUAGAACGGGUAGGUGGAGAAGAAGCGCCGGCUAACUACGUGCCAGCAGCCGCGGUAAUAC
rnacentral:rRNA from 1 species